ensembl:miRNA ipu-mir-7567 ipu-mir-7567
UUGGGCCGAUCGUUCUGGGAAGAGAGUAAGCGUAUCGACAAAAGACUUGCCCAGAUCGAUCGCCAGCU